CUUUUUGGCUCAUCUGCAUUUUCUCCGAAUCCCCCGCCUCCAUGUUUUUCACAGAAACAGCGACAUUCUGAACAGCAGAUCAUAUAAAACAACCCGACAUGGAAACCUCCACCGGAUGAGGAGGAGCAGCAGAGGUAUUUGAACGGCAGUGCUACCGAGCAACGCAGCCUUCUGCUUGGGCCACUGAGGACCUACCUUGGUGAAGACUCCCAGAGGGCCAGAGACAUGGGGAAACGGGGGUGGCGAGUGGACGCCUCCCGUUGCUCUCUUCAACUGCUGCUGCUCCUGGCCUCGUCACUGUCUCUGGCCACCCACCUUCCCGGUCUCAAAUGUCUGUGUGACUUCAACACCACCAUCUCCUGUGAUUGGAACAGCUCUUUAUGGGCCCAGUUUCCUCCCAUCACGGCUGCCACCUCAUGCAAGCUCAAAACCGAAAAGAUAAGCCCCAGUGGUGGAUCAACUCGCUAUAAAUCAGAAUGUGAUAUGAGGCCCCGGGACCCUGCUCACCCAGCCUUACGAGCAUGCAGCCUGGUCUUACCACCACCUAUGAGCCAGGGGUUUAGACACACUCAGGAGUGGAACAUUUUUCUGAACUGUGAGUCUGUGAACACCACCAUCAUCUACAGGCCAGCAGACAACAUAAAGCUGAAGACACCCAGCACGCCUGAGGUCAACCUGACCGUCGUCUCCUUAUUCUCUGAGGUCCCUAGAUUACAAUUCAUUGAGUGUCGUGACAUCCAACUGCAGUGGAUAAAAGUGGGUCAACCAUGGGGGGUAGGUGUGUGUG